AAAUAAUCAAAAUUUUUAGUGGUUGAGGAAGUCCCUUUCUGAUAUGGCUCAUUAUUACAAACAUUCAGAAAUAAUACUAGCUAAAUCAAAUCAUUCCUUAAUAUAGUGUUUCCUAAAUGCAUUACCACUUUCCAGAUCUCAUGUAACAUAUACUGUGCUAUAUUUACUAAUUUUAAAAAAAUGUUUUAGCCUUUUUAAACCAUGGUUUUGUUUUGAGCAAUCAUAUUUCACAUUUUAUGUACUUAUUUUUUCUAAUAAACAUUAAAAUAAAUUUAAAACUAUUAAGGAAAAAUUACUCAUCCAUGUACUACACCACUUAAAAUCAUCUCAGGGCUGUCUAGUGGCAUAUGUGUAUUAUUGUUUAGAAAACAUUGCCAUAACUAUAUGAAGUAAUAUCUAAUAUAACAUAGUUACUUUGUCAUAUUUUAUAUAAUUUAGCCAUAUAAAAAGGUAUCACUGUAAUUUUGGUAGUGUGGGUUUACAAAUAAUGUGUUGAUUAGCUUAUAGCUUUGAGGUUUGGGGAAUAUUGAAACAUUUUAUAAACAAACCAUUUACAGCUUAUUCAUGAUAGAGUUAAACAUAAUUUGCAAGUUUCUGGCCAAGAUCAAAAUAUAAUUAUAGAUAACUGACGUAGAGAAUUUAUAAACAGAAGUUGAUAAUCUGUUUUUGAUCAUUGGAUGUCUUUGAAAUAUAAAUGAGCAAAUUAUGUUUGUGCAUAAUAGAGCAUUCUUAUACUUAACAAGGAACACCUUCUAUUUCUGUAUUUAAGUAAAUAUUAAACAUGGU
rnacentral:lncRNA from 1 species